GACGAACGCUGGCGGCGUGCUUAACACAUGCAAGUCGAACGGAAAGACCCUGCUUUUGUGGGGUGCUCGAGUGGCGAACGGGUGAGUAACACGUGAGUAACCUGCCCUUGACUUUGGGGUAACUUCAGGAAACUGGGGCUAAUACCGGAUAGGAGCUCCUGCUGCAUGGUGGGGGUUGGAAAGUUUCGGCGGUUGGGGAUGGACUCGCGGCUUAUCAGCUUGUUGGUGGGGUAGUGGCUUACCAAGGCUUUGACGGGUAGCCGGCCUGAGAGGGUGACCGGCCACAUUGGGACUGAGAUACGGCCCAGACUCCUACGGGAGGCAGCAGUGGGGAAUAUUGCACAAUGGGCGGAAGCCUGAGGCAGCAACGCCGCGUGCGGGAUGACGGCCUUCGGGUUGUAAACCGCUUUCGCCUGUGACGAAGCGUGAGUGACGGUAAUGGGUAAAGAAGCACCGGCUAACUACGUG
rnacentral:rRNA from 1 species